AGAGUUUGAUCCUGGCUCAGGAUGAACGCUAGCUACAGGCUUAACACAUGCAAGUCGAGGGGCAUCAGUUUGGUUUGCUUGCAAACCAAAGCUGGCGACCGGCGCACGGGUGAGUAACACGUAUCCAACCUGCCUCAUACUCGGGGAUAGCCUUUCGAAAGAAAGAUUAAUAUCCGAUAGCAUAUAUUUCCCGCAUGGGUUUUAUAUUAAAGAAAUUCGGUAUGAGAUGGGGAUGCGUUCCAUUAGUUUGUUGGGGGGGUAACGGCCCACCAAGACUACGAUGGAUAGGGGUUCUGAGAGGAAGGUCCCCCACAUUGGAACUGAGACACGGUCCAAACUCCUACGGGAGGCAGCAGUGAGGAAUAUUGGUCAAUGGACGCGGGUCUGAACCAGCCAAGUAGCGUGAAGGAUGACUGCCCUAUGGGUUGUAAACUUCUUUUAUAUGGGAAUAAAGUUGUCCACGUGUGGAUUUUUGUAUGUACCAUAUGAAUAAGGAUCGGCUAACUCCGUGCCAGCAGCCGCGGUAAUACGGAGGAUCCGAGCGUUAUCCGGAUUUAUUGGGUUUAAAGGGAGCGUAGGCGGAUUGUUAAGUCAGUUGUGAAAGUUUGCGGCUCAACCGUAAAAUUGCAGUUGAUACUGGCAGUCUUGAGCGCAGUAGAGGUGGGCGGAAUUCGUGGUGUAGCGGUGAAAUGCUUAGAUAUCACGAAGAACUCCGAUUGCGAAGGCAGCUCACUGGAGUGUAACUGACGCUGAUGCUCGAAAGUGUGGGUAUCAAACAGGAUUAGAUACCCUGGUAGUCCACGCCGUAAACGAUGACUGCUAGGUGUCGGGUGGCAAAGCCAUUCGGUGCCGCAGCUAACGCAAUAAGCAGUCCACCUGGGGAGUACGUUCGCAAGAAUGAAACUCAAAGGAAUUGACGGGGACCCGCACAAGCGGUGGAGCAUGUGGUUUAAUUCGAAGCAACGCGAAGAACCUUACCUGAUCUUGACAUCCCGAUGACCGCUUCGUAAUGGAAGCUUUUCUUCGGAACAUCGGUGACAGGUGGUGCAUGGUUGUCGUCAGCUCGUGUCGUGAGAUGUUGGGUUAAGUCCCGCAACGAGCGCAACCCCUAUCUUCAGUAGCCAGCAGGUUAAGCUGGGCACUCUGGAGAGACUGCCAGGGAUAACCUGGAGGAAGGUGGGGAUGACGUCAAAUCAUCAUGCCCCUUAUGACCAGGGCUACACACGUGCUACAAUGGCGUAAACAAAGAGAAGCGAACUCGCGAGGGUAAGCAAAUCUCAAAAAUAACGUCUCAGUUCGGAUUGUAGUCUGCAACUCGACUAUAUGAAGCUGGAAUCGCUAGUAAUCGCAGAUCAGAAUGCUGCGGUGAAUACGUUCCCGGGUCUUGUACACACCGCCCGUCACACCAUGGGAGUCAGUAACGCCCGAAGUCAGUGACCCAACCGUAAGGAGGGAGCUGCCGAAGGUGGGACCGAUAACUGGGGUGAAGUCGUAACAAGGUA
rnacentral:rRNA from 1 species